CCUACGGGUGGCAGCAGUGGGGAAUAUUGGACAAUGGGGGGAACCCUGAUCCAGCCAUGCCGCGUGUGUGAAGAAGGCCCUCGGGUUGUAAAGCACUUUCAGUGAGGAAGAACGCCUGGUGGUUAAUACCCAUCAGGAAAGACAUCACUCACAGAAGAAGCACCGGCUAACUCCGUGCCAGCAGCCGCGGUAAUACGGAGGGUGCGAGCGUUAAUCGGAAUUACUGGGCGUAAAGCGCGCGUAGGUGGCUUGAUAAGCCGGUUGUGAAAGCCCCGGGCUCAACCUGGGAACGGCAUCCGGAACUGGCAAGCUAGAGUGCAGGAGAGGAAAGUAGAAUUCCCGGUGUAGCGGUGAAAUGCGUAGAGAUCGGGAGGAAUACCAGUGGCGAAGGCGGCCUUCUGGACUGACACUGACACUGAGGUGCGAAAGCGUGGGUAGCAAACAGGAUUAGAUACCCCUGUAGUC
rnacentral:rRNA from 1 species